rnacentral:rRNA from 1 species
CCUACGGGAGUCAGCAGUGGGGAAUAUUGCGCAAUGAGCGAAAGCCUGACGCAGCGACGCCGCGUGAGGGAUGAAGGUCUUCGGAUCGUACACCUCUGUCAGCAGGGAAGAACGGUCACUGUGCUAAUCAGCAGUGAAUUGACGGUACCUGCAAAGGCAGCACCGGCUAACUCCGUGCCAGCAACCGCGGUAAUACGGAGGGUGCGAGCGUUAAUCGGAAUUACUGGGCGUAAAGCGCUCGUAGGCGGGAUGGCAAGUCAAGGGUGAAAUCCCCGCGCUCAACGUGGUAACUGCCUUUGAAACUGGCAAACUGGAGUGUGUGAGAGGAUAGUGGAAGUCCAGGUGUAGGAGUGAAAGCCGUAGAUAUCUGGAGGAACAUCAGUGGCGAAGGCGACUAUCUGGCACAUAACUGACGCUGAGGAGCGAAAGCGUGGGUAGCAAACAGGAUUAGAUACCCUUGUAGUC